GCAGUCGCCGCGGUAAUACGUAGGUGGCAAGCGUUAUCCGGAAUUAUUGGGCGUAAAGCGCGCGUAGGCGGUUUUUUAAGUCUGAUGUGAAAGCCCACGGCUCAACCGUGGAGGGUCAUUGGAAACUGGAAAACUUGAGUGCAGAAGAGGAAAGUGGAAUUCCAUGUGUAGCGGUGAAAUGCGCAGAGAUAUGGAGGAACACCAGUGGCGAAGGCGACUUUCUGGUCUGUAACUGACGCUGAUGUGCGAAGGCGUGGGGAUCAAACAGGAUUAGAUACCCCUGUAGUCCCUGUCUCUUAUAC
rnacentral:rRNA from 1 species